rnacentral:rRNA from 1 species
UACUUAACACAUGCAAGUCGAACGGGGAUUGUCGGAUUAGCAAUAAUUCGGCGGUCCUAGUGGCGUACGGGUGAGUAACACGUGGGUAACCUGCCCUCGAGUCCGGGAUACCCUCUCGAAAGGGAGGCUAAUACUGGAUACGUUCCUUGGGUCGCGAGACCUGGGGAGGAAAGGUGGCGAAAGCUACCGCUCUUGGAGGGGCUCGCGGCCUAUCAGCUAGUUGGUGAGGUAACGGCUCACCAAGGCGAUGACGGGUAGCUGGUCUGAGAGGACGAUCAGCCACACUGGAACUGAGACACGGUCCAGACUCCUACGGGAGGCAGCAGUAGGGAAUAUUGCGCAAUGGAGGAAACUCUGACGCAGCGACGCCGCGUGGGUGAUGAAGGUUUUCGGAUCGUAAAGCCG